UACGGGAGGCAGCAGUGGGGAAUAUUGCACAAUGGGCGAAAGCCUGAUGCAGCUAUGCCGCGUGUAUGAAGAAGGCCUUAGGGUUGUAAAGUACUUUCAUCGGGGAGGAAAAAACAAAACUAAUAAUUUUAUUUCUUGACGUUACCCGAAAAAGAAGCACCGGCUAACUCCGUGCCAGCAGCCGCGGUAAUACGGAGGGUGCUAGCGUUAAUCAGAAUUACUGGGCGUAAAGAGCACGUAGGUGGUUUUUUAAGUCAGAUGUGAAAUCCCUGGGCUUUAACCUAGGAACUGCAUUUUGAAACUGAAAUACUAGAGUAUCGUAGAGGGAGGUAGAAUUCUAGGUGUAGCGGUGAAAUGCGUAGAUAUCUGGAGGAAUACCUGUGGCGAAAGCGGCCUCCUAAACGAAUACUGACACUGAGGGUGCGAAAGCGUGGGGAGCAAACAGGGAUUAGAUACC
rnacentral:rRNA from 1 species